CACAUCCAAUAGGGGUGUGUUCCAAUCCCAC
rnacentral:piRNA from 1 species